AGGGGUAUAGCUCAGUGGUAGAGCGUUCGACUGAGGAUCAAGAGGUCCCUGGUUCGAAUCCCGGUGUUUUCU